GCCCGGGUGGCGGAAUAGGUAGACGCGUUGGUCUCAAAAACCAAUGAGCGAAAGCUCGUACCGGUUCGAUUCCGGUCUCGGGUA
rnacentral:tRNA from 1 species